UACGUAGGGUGCGAGCGUUAAUCGGAAUUACUGGGCGUAAAGUGUGCGCAGGCGGCCGCGCAAGUCGAGUGUGAAAUCCCCGAGCUUAACUUGGGAAUUGCGCUCGAAACUACGUGGCUGGAGUGUGGCAGAGGAAGGUGGAAUUCCACGUGUAGCGGUGAAAUGCGUAGAGAUGUGGAGGAACGCCGAUGGCGAAGGCAGCCUUCUGGGCCAACACUGACGCUCAUGCACGAAAGCGUGGGGAGCAAACAGG
rnacentral:rRNA from 1 species